GCGUCUGACUUCUAAUCAGAAAGCUGCGGGUUCGAGUCCCGCCU
rnacentral:tRNA from 1 species